GAGGUCGAGAGUUUUGAAGAGAAAGUUUAAAAGAAUUGGGAAAAAGACAAUAAGGUCUCAACGAAAUGUUGAAGCCCGUCGAAGAGCUUUGGGUUGUUGCUCCAUGAAAGGGGUGGGGCUUCUUGGGUUACUC
ensembl:ncRNA C30C11.7 ncRNA